UGCCGUGUUCCUCUGUGUUUCCGUGUAUUUCCGUGUGUUGCCGUGUGUUGCUCUGUUACUCUGUGUUGCCGUGUGUUGCCGUGUGUUUCCCUGUGUUGCCGUGUGUCCCCGUGUGUGUCCGUGUGUUCCUGUGUGUGUCCGUGUGUUUCCCUGUGUUGCCGUGUGUCCCCGUGUGUUUCCCUGUGUUCCCAUGUGUGUCCGUGUGUUCCCGUGUGUGUUCAUGUGUUUCCCUGUGCUCCCGUGUGUGUCCGUAGGUUCCCCUGUGUUCCUGUGUGUUCCCGUGUGUUGCCGUGUGUUCCCAUGUGUUGCCAUGUGUCCGUGUGUUCCCGUGUGUCCCCAUGUGUCCCGUGUGUCCGUGUGUUCCCGUGUUUCCCUGUGUUCCCGUGUGUGUCCGUGUGUUCCCCUGUGUGUCCAUGUGUGUCUGUGUUCCUGUGUGUGUCCAUGUGUUCCCCUGCGUGUCCGUGUGUCCCCGUGUGUCCGUGUGUUCCCGUGUUUCCCUGUGUUCCCGUGUGUGUCCGUGUGUUCCCCUGUGUGUCCGUGUGUGUCCGUGUGUGUCCGUGUGUUGCCGUGUGUUCCCGUGUGUUCCCAUGUGUUGCCGUGUUGCUGUGUGUUCCCGUGUGUUGCCGUGUCUUCCCGUGUGUCCGUGUGUUCCCGUGUGUCCCCGUGUGUUGCCGUGUGUUCCCGUGUGUCGCCGUAUCUUGCCGUGUGUUCCCGUGUGUCCGUGUGUUCCCAUGUGUUCCCAUGUGUUCCCGUGUGUCCCCGUGUGUUCCCGUGUGUCCGUGUGUUCCCGUGUGUCCCCGUGUUUCCCUGUGUUCCCGUGUGUGUCCGUGUGUUCCCGUGUGUGUCCGUGUGUUUCCCUGUGUUCCCGUGUGUGUCCGUGUGUUCCCCUGUGUGUCCGUGUGUCCCGUGUGUCCGUGUGUUCCCGUGUGUCCCCAUGUUCCCCUGUGUGUCCGUGUGUGUCCGUGUGUUCCCGUGUGUCACCGUGUGUCCCCGUGUGUUCCCAUGUGUUGCCGUAUUGCCGUGUGUUCCCGUUUGUUGCCGUGUGUUCCCGUGUGUCCCCGUAUUUCCCUGUGUUCCCGUGUGUAUCCGUGUGUUCCCGUGUGUCCCCGUGUGUUGCCAUGUGUUCCCGUGUGUUGCCAUGUGUUGCCGUGUGUUGCCGUGUGUCCCUGUGUGUUCGUGUGUUCCUGUGUUCCCCUGUGUUCCCGUGUGUCCGUGUGUUCCCGUGUGUUCCCCUGUGAUCUCGAGUGUUCCCGUGUGUCCCCGUGUUUCCCUGUGUUCCCGUGUGUUCCCGUCUGUGUCCGUGUGUUUCCCUGUGUUCCCGUGUGUGUCCGUGUGUUCCCCUGUGUGUCCGUGAGUCCUGUGUGUCCGUGUGUUCCCGUGUGUCCCCGUGUGUUCCCCUGUGUGUCCGUGUGUGCCCGUGUGUUCCCGUGUGUCACCGUGUGUCAAUGUGUGUCCCCGUGUGUUCCCAUGUGUUGCCAUAUUGCCGUGUGUUCCCGUGUGUUGCCGUGUGUUCCUGUGUGUCCGUGUGUUCCCGUGUGCCCCCGUGUGUUGCCGUGUGUUCACGUGUGUUGCCGUGUGUCCCCGUGUGUUCCCGUGUGUUCCCGUGUGUCCGUGUGUUCCCGUGUGUCCGUGUGUGUCCGUGUGUUCCCGUGUGUCUGUGUGUUCCUGUGUGUUCCCGUGUGUCCGUGUGUUCCCGUGUGUCCCCGUGUGUCCGUGUGUUCCCGUGUGUUCCCGUGUUUCCUUGUGUUCCCGUGUGUUGCCGUGUGUCCGUGUGUUCCCGUGUGUCCGUGUGUUUCCGUGUGUUGCCGUGUCCGUGUGUUCCUGUAUGUUGCCGUGUGUUCCCGUGUGUCCGUGUGUUCCCGUGUGUCCGUGUGUUUCCGUGUGUUCCCGUGUGUCCGUGUGUUCCCGUGUGUCCCUGUGUUCCCGUGUGUUCCCGUGUGUUCCCGUGUGUCCGUGUGUUCCCGUGUGUUCCCGUGUGUCCCUGUGUUCCCGUGUGUCCGUGUGUUCCCGUGUUCUCGUGUGUCCGUGUGUUCCCGUGUGUCCCUGUGUUCCCCUGUGUUCCUGUGUGUUCCCGUGUGUCCCUGUGUUCCCCUGUGUUCCCGUGUGUCCCCGUGUGUUCCUCUGUGUUCCCGUGUGUUCCCCUGUGUCCGUGUGUUCCCAUGUGUCCGUGUGUUCCCGUGUGUUCCCAUGUGUUCCCCUGUGUUCCCAUGUGUCCGUGUGUUCCCGUGUGUCCCCGUGUUUCCCUGUGUUCCCGUGUGUGUCCGUGUGUUCCCCAGUGUGUCCGUGUGUUCCCGUGUGUCCUCCUGUGUUCCCGUGUGUUCCCCUGUGUUCCCGUGUGUCCGUAUGUUGCCGUGUUGCCGUGUCUUCCCGUGUGUCCGUGUGUUCCCGUGUGUCGUGUGUGUUGCCGUGUGUUGCCGUGUGUUGCCGUGUGUUCCCGUGUGUCCCUGUGUUCCCCUGUGUUCCCGUGUGUUCCCGUGUGUUCCCGUGUGUCCCUGUGUUCCCCUGUGUUCCCGUGUGUUCCCGUGUGUCCCUGUGUUCCCGUGUGUCCCUGUGUUCCCCUGUGUUCCCGUGUGUGUCCGUGCGCUCUCCCGUGUCGCUCCGCGCUCGCUGAGCGCUCGCGGCUCUCUCGCGGCGCACGCACUGCGCUCACGCCUCUGCGCAUGUCCGCGCACGUGA
rnacentral:lncRNA from 1 species